CUGAGUGAGGGCCUCCGGGCCCGACCUCCAACCCUUUUGUGAACCACCUCGUUGCUUCGGGGGCGACCCUGCCGUUCGCGGCGUGGGGCCCCCGGAGCCCUUCAAACCCUGCGUAACUGAGUCGUCGGAGUUUAAACAAAUUAAACA
rnacentral:misc_RNA from 1 species